rnacentral:tRNA from 2 species
GGAAGGAUGGCCGAGCGGUUUAAGGCACUGGUCUUGAAAACCAGAGAUGGGAAACUGUCCGUGGGUUCGAAUCCCACUCCUUCCGCCA